GAGAUAUUAGUAAACAAAAUUACAUAACUUUGUCAAAGUUAAAUUAUAGAUUAGCCUCUAUAUAUCUUA
rnacentral:tRNA from 1 species